rnacentral:tRNA from 1 species
GGAAGCGUGGCCGAGAGGCCGAAGGCAAUCGGUUGCUAACCGAUAGACUCGCAAGGGUCCGCGCGUUCGAAUCGCGCCGCUUCCGCCA